rnacentral:rRNA from 1 species
CCUACGGGUGGCUGCAGUGGGGAAUAUUGGACAAUGGGGGGAACCCUGAUCUAGCCAUGCCGCGUGUGUGAAGAAGGCCCUCGGGUUGUAAAGCACUUUCAGUGAGGAAGAACGCCUGGUGGUUAAUACCCAUCAGGAAAGACAUCACUCACAGAAGAAGCACCGGCUAACUCCGUGCCAGCAGCCGCGGUAAUACGGAGGGUGCGAGCGUUAAUCGGAAUUACUGGGCGUAAAGCGCGCGUAGGUGGCUUGAUAAGCCGGUUGUGAAAGCCCCGGGCUCAACCUGGGAACGGCAUCCGGAACUGUCAAGCUAGAGUGCAGGAGAGGAAGGUAGAAUUCCCGGUGUAGCGGUGAAAUGCGUAGAGAUCGGGAGGAAUACCAGUGGCGAAGGCGGCCUUCUGGACUGACACUGACACUGAGGUGCGAAAGCGUGGGUAGCAAACAGGAUUAGAUACCCCGGUAGUC